GUGGGGCGGAGCCUUUAUGGAGGUUACCGCGGGAACAGCGACCCCGUCAGGAUCGCCGCGGCCCAGCCGCGGGGCGCGCCGGGAGCUCCGCGCUGUCGGCCGCCGGGGAGCGUAGUGUUAGUCACUAGGGGCGCAACCUGGGGCCGCUGACGCGCUACGUGUUUGCAGUUAAGCCCCUGAGAACCAAGAGCAGAGACAACCCACACCCCUCGUUUUGUUUUAAGAGAAAAUAUGGAAAUUGUAGCAUAGAUUUACAGUAUCUGUGAAAUUAGAACCAAGUUUCCUGUCAUCUGGUAGCCGUCGCGCCCCGCUGGUCUCCGACGCCUGGGUGGCUCUCGUUUGCAAAAUAAGAUUGAAUUUAAUGUCCCCACCGAGGCUGCGGUUCAUUCAUUCAGCAGUCUUGAGUAUGUGCCGUGUACCUGCACUGAGCCCUGUGCUGGAGGGACCAUGCUGAACAGGCGUGUCCCUGCCCGCAGGAAGUUCUCAGCUGGGUUACUUGACAGCCACCAGGGGCUUCUCUUUCUCCAUUUCUCCCCCACCCCCUCCAAAUUCCGUCACCAUUUGCUGCAGGAAGGACUUUAUGGCUGGCUAAGGCAGCAUGCACACGCGGGAUUACGGGAUCAACACUAGGUACCUGCUCUGUGCGAGAUCCAGUGCCAGGUGGAGGACGCAAAGAAGUGUAAGAGGUGCCUAGCUACAGAGUGUUGAUAAACAGUAAGAGCUUAACAUCCUGCCUGACUGAUGGACAGGUGGCCCUCAGUGCUAAGAUCCUCCAGUUUGGGGUACAACAGUACAAAGCUUCUCAGCAUGGGAGCUGCUAUGAACUGAACCCUAAGUACACUCAGGAAUGAGGCCAAGUACCUAGCAUUAUCUCAUGAGAUUUAUACAACUCUUGAGGUGGGUAUUAGGUCUACUAGAAUUUUUUUUCUUGCUUAAGAUACAAAUGGUGGUGCUCAAAACCACAGCAACAACGACCACAGAGCCAACUACUGACAGCACCACGGUAGAAACGCUGACUCCGGAAUUAGGGCGACUGUCAUCAGGAUGCAGAGGAUCUUCAUCUGCCUGGGGAACAAACAAAGCCAGGUGGACUGGGAGUGCCUUGAGAUUCGGUCUGGUUUAACUCUGGUCCCAAGUUCCUGGCACAGCAUCUGCAGAGCAAGACCUCAAGAGAAAUUGUUGUUGUCAGCCUGUACACUUAUGCAUUGCUACCAGAGGACUAGAAUAAGUCAUGUUUUACCUGUUACGAUGCUCAUCUCUAUGACUGCUUCAUCAGCAUUUUCUCCCAGAGCAAUAAAAUGAAUGAUGGCCCCACUAUUUGUCACUUCUUCAAUACAAGUCUUUGCAGAGCUAUCUUCCCCAUCAGUCAGCAGUACUAUUUCAGAUCC